rnacentral:rRNA from 1 species
UACGUAGGGUGCGAGCGUUAAUCGGAAUUACUGGGCGUAAAGCGUGCGCAGGCGGCUUUGCAAGACAGAUGUGAAAUCCCCGGGCUCAACCUGGGAACUGCAUUUGUGACUGCAAGGCUAGAGUACGGCAGAGGGGGAUGGAAUUCCGCGUGUAGCAGUGAAAUGCGUAGAUAUGCGGAGGAACACCAAUGGCGAAGGCAAUCCCCUGGGCCUGUACUGACGCUCAUGCACGAAGGCGUGGGGAGCAAACAGG